UCCGCGUACGCGGUCAUCGGACGGCGAACGACAGGAACUUUCACCAGAGCGUCGUUGAUAAUAUCGUAGUAUGUUUACAAUGUCUCCCACCAUCGUUUCCGAUUGUCCGCAAGUCCUACUUAUCGACUUGUAAUAUAUUCGACUUGUUACGUGUGUGCAGAACCCGUGUAUGUUAGGCUGGAACGCGAUUUUCCUGCUCGAAGAAGUUCAGUUUUAUGUGCGCAAAGCAAUUCAACUGUUCCAGUAAUUUCCUCGGUUAAACAACGGGAAAUCGGAAAUAUUCGCGCUCGUGUUCGUAAAGUUGAAUAUGAAUAUUGAACGAAGUUUGAAAAUCAUUUUUAAAUCAAUGUUGAAUUCGAACGAAGUGCGAAAAAGAAAAAGGAAUUCAAGAAAUGUAAAAAUAUAUAUACAUAUAUAUUUUUAUCAAAGGUAUACCGUUAAUAGACGAGGAGCAAAAUGGAAAUAAUAGUUCCGAUCAAACGUAAAUCGCGAAAACAUAAAUUAAACGUAAUCAAGGAACAUAUGCUUAGGAAAAAUUAUAUAUUCGCAACGAUGACUCAUUAUAUCUUUGUAUAGUUAUACAUUGUUCCAUGAAUAUAUUUAUCGCAUUUUCAUAAUCGUGCGCUUAAAAUACAGUCUUUAUAUCAAUCACUUAUACUAUGUUACAAACCAUUGUACAAGUCUAUUAAAAAGAAAAAAAAAAUCAGCAAGAAUUUCCUCUGUUCUAAACGCGAACAAUUUCCAGUUCCAACAGUACAAAUUCUUCAUACAGAUAUCGGAAGAAACUCAAUAGAAACAGGUUUCAGCAAGUCGCGCUUAUAGUUCGUUCGAAAUCAAUUGACUACACAAGGCCGUCAACAUGCAACCCCCUCUCCAUUCCUUUCGCCUACUAUAGAACUUUAUCUAUCUGGAUUCUUCUUUAUUUUAUACUUUUUGCGAUAAAAAACUAUCCAUAGAAAAUAUAAUAUAUGCUUAACUAUCAAAACGAAUGGAUAUAAUAUUCGUAUCACACUUUUUCCAUCCUUUAUUUCUUCCUUUAAAUUAUACUUUCGUAUAUGAAGAUUAUAAUAAUUAUUUUCUUAUUUUGUACAAAUAUUAGCAUAAUUAUGAAUACGUAUGAUCGCAAAGAACACGAUGAUGGCCACUAUACAUCAUAAUCAACUACAAUUUGGCACGAUCAAUUUAUCAAAAUUGAUGGACAUAACCUUAAAAGAUCAAUUCAACUUCCAUAACCUAUAAGCACGAAGAAAGAAAGGAGAGAGAGAGAGAGAGAGAAAAGGAAGAAAAGGAGAAAACUAAACGGUUGUUGUCUGUUUACCUGGAACUUAUCUCUCGUUGAAGACCUGGACCACGUCGCGCGCGCAGAACCAAGCGGAAUAAUAAACGGAAGUGCCAUUGCCCGCCGAAGGGAGGAAGCGCCGAUCGAACGGUUCGAAUCAUAGAAAACGGUUAAAUCCCGCGCUACCGCUGUCCAGUUAUCGGGGAAUGUGUACGAGGUGGUACGGAAACCGACUAUCACAGGUUUAUACCGGAUAAAUCUCGUUUCUUCCCGCGUGCAAAGCGUUUUCCAUCACUGUCCCUCGAGCAUGCCUGUCUUUCUCGACGAGUCUCUCGCCGGCGUUGUCAGUCAGGCCAGCUCGAAACCCGAGUGUGUCCAUGGAGAACGUUAGUGGCAAGAGUUGUCGUGUUGUCGACCUCGUAGGCCGACCGACCGACCGGCCAGCCAAUUCGUCAGGGAAAGGAGCGAAUAUUUGGCCCGGCGCGAGUCUCGCCACGCGUGUAUUAUCACUGUUAUACAUAUACUACUAUGCGCGUAAUCGCUACGUGUCGUUUCUACGAGUGUUGUUUCGCGCCUCGAAGAUGAGCCCACCACGCGUGGAUCGAUACACGAUUCUCGAUAGGUGAUAGAUCUUGGUGGGGCAGAUGGAGUGGUGGGAGAACUUGAUCACCAAAUUUAUGAAGGAUCGUAUGAUAUUGACACCGAUUCCAACGAUUCGACCUUCGAAAGAUUCUCUAAGAAUCGUUCGAAACGUUCUUGGCGACCCGAGAUCCUCGGGAAAGAUGGGCUUCGGCAUUUGCAUUUUAAAUGCUUCUUAGAAAGGGACUUUUGGGCACGUGUUCAGGAGGAUUAAUUUAUGACGCGGAUCGGUAGAUAUAGAACGGAGGAAUAGGUGAAUUGAAGAUUUCUUUUUUUUUUUUUUUUUUCUUUAUGGGAUGGGACUUUUGGUCGCAUUUUUUGCCUCGAGGGAACUUCAGGCGGAUAAUGUUCGUGAAUAUGAGGCACUGUUUAACCUAACGGUACGGUUAAUUAGAGCCAAUUUGUAGUAUUGGUGGAUAGGUAUUUACUGUGUGGAAUGUUUUCUGGAUUUUCUUACGUUAUUUUUUUGUCCUGUCACUUUGAUAAUAAACGUAUAUAUUUAAGUAAUUUCACUAUCGUUUAAUGAGUGGUAAUUUUUUUUAAAAUACCUGUCGAUUAUAGAUAUUAUUUUUAUUUUUAGAAUUUUGUAGAAUUUAUGAGCUUUAUUUUACGCCACAAAUUAUAUUAUUAUUAUUAUCGCAUACGUAAAUCGAUAAGUAAAAUAAAUAAAGUAAAAAUUUCAUAAUAAUUGUAACUAAUUUAGCUACGAUAAUAAAGUCAUUACUGAUAUUUCUUGAAUUCAUAGCUGACCGAGAUACGAGUUAAAUUUUAUCGAAAAAUUGCUACUUCGUAUAUGAUUGAUCGUAAUAAAUAUAUAAAUGAAUAUUUAAUUCAUAUAACUCGCUCUUUGAUAAGUUUCGUUCAUUGACUGCAACUACAUGAUGCAGCAUAUCAAUUUCAUUCAUAUCAUUCUUUUUUUACUGGCACAAAACGUCAAGAACAAUGGAUUUUAUUACAUUGAUCUUAUAUUAAAAGUUCAUUCAAUCACCAAGUGUCUCACCUUUGAAAUUUUUACACUCGUAUUUCUGCAUAAACUUAACCAAAGUUAAUUAAAAAAAAAAAAAAAAAAAUACGUCUUUCCACGGAAAUUUAACCCAAGUUAAAUAAGAAAAUUUUUGUCUGUAUACACAUACUUCCGCGCAAGUUUAAACACAUGAAAAAAUAAAAGAAUCUAAAAAUAAAAUCGUUGGAUUUAACUUAAGAAGGAAGGAAAAAAGAUAAACGAGACUUUGAGACUUACCCAGCGAAGAAAUGAGAUUCCCCCAGAGUUCAGCGGUCUGCCAGGCAAGGAAGAAGAACCCGAAGAACCUGACCACGAUGGCGUCUACCGGCUGAUCGGUGAGUUUCGCGUACACACCGCCAACCUGUGUGAGAUAGGUGGCCUGAGCUGCCCACAUAGGCGCGGCACCCAAGCCAAGGAGCACGCCAGCCGGUACCAGGGUGUAAAAUUUCGGAUAGAACUGGGACCCGAUGUACGGUGCGUAACACAGCAUCGAAAUACACAAUGUCCAUUUAACCGUGAGCCUUUUGAUAACGAAGGUGGGAACGAAGAUGCAUGAUAGCACCAAUGCAGCGUAAAUCGCUGAAAGGGACACGGUGCCUAAACCGUCACUGGCGUUAAUCGACGACUGGAGAUUAGCCGUCCCUUGAAACGCGGUGAACUGCACCAUAAACGCCACGGAUACGGUGCUAAUGUUCUUCAAGAUACGCCAUUUCUCGCCGCGGGAGAGUUUGAACUUUCUUGAUUGCGUGUCGUCGUCCGUCGACGAUAAUUGCGGCGGUUUCUGCGGCUCAGGAGGUAUACCGUCGGUACCGUCGUCCUUGUAACCCUCGUUCCUGUAACCGACACCACUUACGGUCACCGUGUACACGGUCUCAUCGCCACCGCCGCCUCCACCGUCUCCGCCACCACCGCCACCGACACUUCUGGUACCGUCGUGUUGUGAGGCUACCAUUCUACGUGUUUGCUACCUGUAACAUUGUUAAUCAAACCAAUUAAUAUAUCGUAUAUAUAUCAUCAAUCUUAUUUGCAGAUUUUUUAAUAAUCAUAAAAGGCAGUGUAUUAUAAAAUUUUAAAUAUGUAACUAUAGCGUGAGAGCGUCUCGAUAACAAACUGCCCUUGCUUGCCCGAAAAAAAUUCCUCUCCCUUUUGCACGCAACGAAUAAUCUGAUAAUCUCUCGAGAAUUAAGAUCCCACGAUUUAUCAAGGAAGAUAUUCCAACCGUGAGGUUCUAUAGUUAAAAACCUGGCCUCAGCCAAGGAAGACGAGAUAUUUUCGUUUCGAGGUGCAGAAAGAACGCCUCGUAUAUUAUAGGCUGAUAGUUAUGGACGGUGGCGCGCGCGUGCAACAGCGCGUAUUUUCUGUAAAAGCGAUUUAUAACGGAUCGUUCAUUGGUAUGAAGAGGCGUGCGAAGACCUCGUCACGAAUCAUGCAGUUUAAAGGGAAUGGUUUUCUUUUUUUUGUUCCUUUCUUUCUUUUUGCUUUUUAUUCCUCUCUUUCUUUCUUUUUUUUUCUUUUUUUCAUUUGGAAAGGCCUUAUUGAAGCGUUCGCGAAUCACGUUCCAGUUGCGCUUGUAAAUUCGUUUGUCGUCGAUGUAAUCGAUGGGAAUGCGUGACCGGCCGCACAAUGCCGUGACACGUGUCGUACGGCGUGCAUCGCAAUUAAGCGGCGCUCGCAAUACCUUCACCUCGUUCGCUAACUCUUUCUGCGCGCUCUGACCCCCUCCCCUCCCGAAUCUUGAUUUCAUUGGCAGCGUUUCUCAAAGUAUGCGCGAGUACUUGACUUUCUUCCGCCCCCUCCCAAACACAUUUGUUUACGCCAAAGAGAAUAUUGUAUCGAAAGCUGCAGAAAUUAAAGGAUAAUUUUUGCUCGUAUGGAGAGACUUGCUUGAUCGAAUUCGAUUCGUUCAAUUUGAUCGAAACUUUUUCAAAGAUUGUUGGAUUUCACCAUAGCUUGUUCACUACGUGAAAUAUAUAAUGAUGAAUAGAAAUUCGAUUGAUAGUGUUUAAAUUGUACUUCUCAAAACGUUGACUUGUAUCACUAUCCUUUUUACAAGGGAGUACGUUUGAUUAAAAUUUAAAAAAUCGUUUUGUUAGAAUUCAUUAUUCUAUUUAUAUUAAGAACAGAUAUUAUUUAAUAUUUCUUGAAAAUUAUUCGUUGUUAAAUUUCAUUGUAAUCAUUAAGCAUGAUUAUGUGUUAAAUAAGAAUCACAAUGACAUCAAUGUAACUCUUUAAAUUAAAAUUAAAUAUUUUUUGAGAUUUUA